GACAUACAGAGACAUAAACAUUUUUGAAAUUCAGAAUUAGUAACAGUGGAAACUGUGUCUUAAAAACCAGUGAUGACUCCUAGCUAUUGCACAUCUUCACAGGGAAAAACGUGCUCUGGGUGGGAUGAUUAACUGGAAUAGACUGUUUCCUCCUUUGCGACAUAGACAUAAUGCAAAUUAUCAAGAUCAUCGCCCGUCUGAACAAGAUACGCCUCCACCUACUGAGGUUUCUGAAGAGCAGGUUGCACGACUUAUGGAAAUGGGGUUUUCGAGGGGAGAUGCUCUAGAAGCUCUGAGGGCUUCAAAUAAUGACUUAAAUGUAGCCACUAAUUUUCUGCUGCAGCACUGAUGGUUUUUCGUGUGAAGGAACUUCCCUCGAAGGGUUUGUACACAUCUGGAAGAGGAUCAAAGCCACCUGCUGGACAGACUCGCGAAGGUCGUCCCCGCACGAGCGUUGGAGAAGAGAAACUGGCUCCACGUGACUGGUGAUUCAAAGCAGUGCUAAUGAAUGACGUGAACUGUUCCCAAGCCUUCACAUCACUCGGUGGUUUCUAGUCUGGUUGUGCUUUUCCAAGUAACUUUAGUUUCUAAUUAUGACUGGAUAUCACCUAAAUUU